rnacentral:rRNA from 1 species
CCUACGGGAGGCAGCAGUGAGGAAUAUUGGUCAAUGGACGAGAGUCUGAACCAGCCAAGUAGCGUGAAGGAUGACUGCCCUAUGGGUUGUAAACUUCUUUUAUAUGGGAAUAAAAUGUUCCACGUGUGGGAUUUUGUAUGUACCAUAUGAAUAAGGAUCGGAUAACUCCGUGCCAGCAGCCGCGGUAAUACGGAGGAUCCGAGCGUUAUCCGGAUUUAUUGGGUUUAAAGGGAGCGUAGGUGGAUUGUUAAGUCAGUUGUGAAAGUUUGCGGCUCAACCGUAAAAUUGCAGUUGAAACUGGCAGUCUUGAGUACAGUAGAGGUGGGCGGAAUUCGUGGUGUAGCGGUGAAAUGCUUAGAUAUCACGAAGAACUCCGAUUGCGAAGGCAGUUCACUGGACUGCAACUGACACUGAGGCUCGAAAGUGUGGGUAUCAAACAGGAUUAGAUACCCGAGUAGUC